rnacentral:lncRNA from 1 species
UACUCGAGCUCGACUCGAAAUUAAAUGAGCUGAGCUUGAACAAAAUAAAAGGCUCGAAAUUCAUUUCAAGCCGAGCUUGAGUAUUACUCGGCUCGUUCGAAUUAGGCUCGAAAAGCUCGAAAGCUCGAAAUAUAUAUAUAUAUAUAUAUAAAAUAUAUUUUAAUUAUAUAUAGGCUUUAAUUAAAUUUGGGCCAUUAUUGUUGGCCCAUAAAAUAAACCCAAUAAGUACAACCGUGCAAUUGAGCCCAACUCUAAAUUUACAUAAUACACUCUCUCUUUCAGACUUUCACUGUUGCACAUAACCCUAAAGCAUGAUAAUAUUCAAAUUUUCAAAUCCCUAAUUUUUUUUCCUCUCUCUCUCUCUCUCUCUCACCCUUACCCAGUCAGGCAGUCACCCUAGCUCACAUUUCUUACAAUUAUUUUGUAUUUUGAACUAUUGAACAUGUUGCAUCAAAUUAUAGGUAAUGUUCUAUAAAAAUUAAACUAUUGAUUAUAUAAUGUCGAGAAUUUCAAUCGGCUCGUUUAGAGCUCGAGCUCGGCUCGACUCGAAAUUAGGCUCGCUCGAGCUCGGCUCGAAUUAAUUUCAAGCCGAGCUUGAACCUAGAUUUAGGCUCGAAAUUAAUUUCAAGCCGAAUUUGAGCUGACAUAAGCUCGCUCGAGCUCGGCUCGUUUCCACCCCUA